rnacentral:lncRNA from 1 species
UGGGCACUGGGAGAGGCAGGGAGCCUGCAUUUAGACUUCCUCUCAGCUUGCAGGAUGUACCACAUGUUAAGAGGGUCUUAGGCUACCUGUAUACAAGUAAUUUUCAAUGCUUUUCAUCUAAGUCUAAAAGCUGACCCAUCCUUUAAAAGUAUGUGCUCAGUAAGUCACCAGAAAGUGGCAUGGAGCAGAGGAUUGUUUAAUUAGGGGUGCUGAGUCACUUUGGGGACCUGGAGGCUCUGUCUUUGACUAGGCAAAGUGUUUGCUCCAAGCCUUUCCUCUGCCCAAAUCUGUGAAGAUCUAGUUGCACCUUGGAACUUUCAGCACCAAGGCGCCAAGUGAACUGCCAUGAACAACAAGAUAUGCACAACACCCACCAGGCAUGCAUGUGCUCUCUCUGAGCACUGGUGCAGAUUUCCCUUGUCCUUAAGCAUGACCUUCAUUCUCAAGGCUCCCUUAUCUUCAGCCAUGCCCGUGUCCUCAAGUAUUCCUCUUCAUCUCAAAUGCCUGCUGUGCUGCUCACUAUCACAGCUGCAUUCCAGAAUCAAAAACAAAAACCAAUCAAAAAGGAGCCAUCGGAAGACCCACCCAGGGCAAAUGCAGACUGUCUUCAUGCGGAGAUAUCACCUGCAGGUGCAUGGGUUGCCCUUGGAUACUGCUGUAACAAGAUUUCUUUUCUCCAAAGACAGAAAGGCUGGAUUGUGGAUGUGAUCUCUUCCUCCCAAAUAUGCUCCUGGCAUUGAGCCAUGAAGUCCUCAUUGGAGCCAGACCAGACCAAUUGGGUUGCCUGACAUUGAACUUUCAAUCUCCAAAACGUUGUGCUAAAUAAAUCUCUUUUUCUUCAUAAGUAACCUGCCUCAGGUAUUUCAGGAUAGCAAUGAAAAACAGACAAAUGCACUGCAUGUCUUGAAAUCCUCACCUGAGAGGGAGCAAAUACACAGCACAUCGCACACCUCCCCAGCAAACCUGCUGGUGCUCUCCUCCAUCCUGUCACAUGUGCACACAGGCCUGCAGACACAAGUUCAUGUCAGGGUUCAUUUCUAAACGCCAGCCUCCCCUGGGGCUGCUAUUCCUGCCAGCACACUGCACAGAGCUCCCUGCCUCCCAGCCAGGCAGCCCCCUUCCCUGACAGUGCCUCCUUCACAGUGCUCAGGGUCUGAACUCUGAGCAGGGUUAGACAGCAAACCAGGGACACAGCCAGGCUUAUUAAGGAACUCAUAAUAAUAAGAAUAAUUAGCG